ACCCCGGAAAGCCGAAAAGGGGUUUACAGAGUAGGCG
rfam:Mucilaginibacter sp. OK098 genome assembly, contig: Ga0066759_103